rnacentral:rRNA from 1 species
UACAGAGGCCUCGAGCGUUAGGCGGAAUCACUGGGCUUAAAGCGUGUGUAGGCGGACUUCUAAGUACCUUGUGAAAUCCCACGGCUCACCCGUGGAACUGCUUGGUAUACUGGUUGUCUUGAGCCUUCUAGGGGCGAGUGGAACAAAUGGUGGAGCGGUGAAAUGCGUAGAUAUCAUUUGGAACGCCAAUGGUGAAAACAACUCGCUGGGGAAGUGCUGACGCUGAGACACGAAAGCCAGGGGAGCGAACGGG